AGAGCCAAACCACAUGCUUCCGCCAUGUUCUUCAGCUUCACUAACAGAUUCAAGUGGGUUGCCGCCGCCGCCGUCCAACGCUUGCACUACGUUUCCAUCUCUGUCAAACUUAACGGCAACCGGGUCUCGAAUCCAACUUGGAGACCUACCUAGUUGGGCGAAGAGUUCCAAGGUUUGUGCCUUGGGUCCUUGAAGCCAAUACCUGAAGAUUUUCAUUGUCGUAGACUCGGCUAGGAGGAGAAAUGACUUGUCGUUGCUUAGGGCCACACCAUCUGGAAAGGCCAGGCCUUUGAGCAAAACUGUUGUUUCAUUUGUUCGUGGAUCGUAUUGGAUUAGCCUUCCUGUUCUUUCUCUACUCAGUAAUGAAUAUAACCAUACCCUUUUCACCCAAAAAAAAAAUUCAGAUACAAAUAUUAGUUAUUGUUUACACAAAUUAAUGAAAUUGUGUGUAAUAUAUAUAAACUUGUAAUUUUUUAUUA